rnacentral:rRNA from 1 species
CAGUCGCCGCGGGAAUACGGAGGGUGCAAGCGUUAUCCGGAUUCACUGGGUUUAAAGGGUGCGUAGGCGGGCAGGUAAGUCAGUGGUGAAAUCUUCGAGCUUAACUCGGAAACUGCCGUUGAUACUAUCUGUCUUGAAUAACGUUGAGGUGAGCGGAAUAUGUCAUGUAGCGGUGAAAUGCUUGGAUAUGACAUAGAACACCGAUUGCGAAGGCAGCUCACUAAACGCUCAUUGACGCUGAGGCACGAAAGCGUGGGGAUCAAACAGGAUUAGAUACCCCCGUAGUCCCUGUCUCUUAUAC